rnacentral:rRNA from 1 species
GGGGGGGGGGGGGGGGGGGGGGGGGGGGGGGGGGGCGGGCGGGCGGGCGGGGGGCGGGCGGCGCGGGGGGUGGCGGCGGGCGGGUGGGGAACGCGGGGAUAGCCUACCUAUGAGACGGGGAUCACUUCGGGAAGCCGGAGCUAAGACCGGAUAAUAUUUUGCACCGCAUGGUUCAAAAGUGACGGACGGUCUUUCUGUCCCUUAUAGAGGGUUCCGCGCUGCAUUAGCUAGUUGGUAAGGUAACGCCUUACCAAGGCAACGAUGCAUAUCCGACCUGAGAGGGUGAUCGGCCACACUGGAACUGAGACACGGUCCAGACUCCUACGGGAGGCAGCAGUAGGGAAUCUUCCGCAAUGGGCGAAAGCCUGACGGAGCAACGCCGCGUGAGUGAUGAAGGUCUUCGGAUCGUAAAACUCUGUUAUUAGGGAAGAACAUAUGUGUAAGUAACUGUGCACAUCUUGACGGUACCUAAUCAGAAAGCCACGGCUAACUACGUG